CCCGUACUUAUAAAGAAAUUUAUGUGAGACAUAAACUGAAACAUAUCCGAGUAUUAACAAUGACGAGACAUAACCCCCCUCCUUAUGUUUCACCCCCUCAACAUAACCAGCUCGACAUAAGCGAGUAUUAGUACAUCGUUGCCAACCCCUGCGCUGCACCUAUGAAAGGGAUACCAACUCAAAAUAAAAUGUUGGAAUUUGGUAUAAUUUUGAUGUUAAAAGCAUAUUGACGUAUUGGUAAUAUGUAUAAAAUAAAAUAAAGUAUUUUCGGGUAUUGUUGACGAUGCAUAGACCAACAUCACAUGGAAUAAUGAUAAAAUUAAGGACGUAGCCCCUCAAACAUGUAAACAAACGUUCCCGCGAGUUUCAAGCUAGCAGGCAGCAGCCAUGGCCGCCAACAGCCAGCCACGACCUCUGCAGCCCCUCAGCAGCCAUCGAGGUCAGCAGCUACACCAGGAGCAGCAGCAGGAGGGACCACAGCCUCACCCCCAGCCACAUCAGCAGCAGCAGCAGGAACAGCCGCCGCCCCAGCUACAGCCUCGUCGGCAGACACGUCACCGCCACGCCAAUUGGACGCACGCUGAAACGCUCUCCCUUGUACAGCUCUACAGGGAGAAAGCAGCCAUCAUCAAGGGAAAUUUUUCCGACAAUGGCUGCUCUGCUGAGGCGAAGGCGAAGGCUUGGGGCAGCAUUGUCUCUCGCCUAGCGGCACUCCACCCUGGCUUCAGCAGAUGCAUAAAGCAGUGCCAGAGACGCUGGCAAACUGUUAUGCAGGAAGCAAAAGCUAAAAUUAGUGCCUACCAAAAGGCCAGGAAUGGAACAGGUGGUGGCCUUCCGCCUACACCCCUCGGGGAGCUAGAGGUCAUCAUCGCUGAUGUGCUGGGAGAGGGGAACGUCUCAGUCAAUUCUAUUGACAGGACAGUGGUGGACCCUUUUCCACUUGACACUGAAGAUGUUCCCGAAAAUGGGAGUCUUCAGGUGGAUGUCACACCACCUGUCCCUCCCCAACCCAGCACAGACACACCUCAAACCACCACCACACCACCACCAGUAGUUCCUGCCGCUGCAGCUUCCUCCAGUACACCAGUUGGGACCUGCACCAUGUUGGUG